AUAAUAAAAAUAUAGAUCUGAGUAUUGAAGCUUUUAAUCAAUUAACCACCACCAUAUUUUUUCAAACACCCAUUUUCAGAUCUGAGUACACCUACUUCAUAGCUGAGUUCACCUACAAAAUCAAAAUGAUAAGAUAAUGUUAGAAUUUAUUGUUUGUUUAAAUCUCAUUCCAAAACCACAUCUAAUAUUCACAAGUGAAACCAAGGUCUUGUUUGGCUGCUGCGUAAGGAAAGUACCAAUCAUAUGCGAAGUCAGCGGCGACUCAGUGAGUCGGGUUAUCUUUUUUAGUUAGAAAAAUGAUACACAUACUUACAUAGCUUGAUUUACAAAACAUGAUGGUGAUGGCUGAGAAAAGGAACAAGAAAGAGGAGGAAGAAGAAGAGUAUUUUGUGUAAGUAUGAGUUUAUAUCAUUAUCACAAAUAGUCCUUGUGGUUACGAAUGGACGAUUAUACCCUCAUGUGCAAUGCACAUGAGGGGUUUAACGGAGGAAAAAUGACGGCUGUUAGUGGCAGGGACGACUAGCAAUGAAACUAAAAAGUAUAAGGAUACUUAAUGAUAAAAAAAAAGCACAGGGACAAAAAUGCGAAUCGAACUAACCACAAGAACGAUUUGUGACAAUUUUUCAUAAACUAGUAAAAGGGGAUAAAUGUUGAAUUUAUAUGGCAGCUUGUACACAAUAGAAUGUGGGACAUAAAUGAAUUCAUCCGUCUUUCUACUUUUUUUAGACCGAGGUUUACAAAUAUAUACGAGUAUGUUUUAGAAACAAA